CAGAUGUCGGCAAUAGUUUUCCAAGAGGGGAAUACCCAAAAAGAGCUUUCAAGACUGCGCCCAAAAGAAAUACCUAAGCACAGAUAUGAUGCUAACUUGAAAAACAAAAAGAAAAGUAAUCCCAUUUGGAGCCAAGCUGAAGCCACACAGGAACAACUCAGCAAUACAUAAUGCAAAGGAUUCCAGUGGAUUUGCAAGCAGGAGGAUGAAAUAAGACACAAAACAGUAGAGAGAAUUCUGGUAUUUCCAUGGAUAUUGAUCUUUUAUUCAUGCUACUGCUAAUGUUGGUCUCACGUUGAUGGAGAUGCAACAAAGAUAAAACAGAGACCCUGAGUCCUACUCAUGUCCCUACGAUUGUCUCUGUAUUUUAUCCAUCAACAUCUGAAUGCUAAUCACUCAAAAAUCCUGAGAGCGGAGACAGACUCCAAGGGCUUCCCCUCAGAAGGCCUAGAGUCACAGUCUGCCUUGUGCUUUCUGCGAUGCCCCUUCAGCGUCAUGUCCCUUCAUUCAUAGCUGGACAGUGUGAGCCAAAGUGGAGGAGAUGUCUUUUCAGCCACACCUGGUAGAAGAAAUCUGCAACCAUGGCACUUGACACAGAUCCUCUUUGACGCUGAACUGACAAGUUACUUGCAGAGUUUGAAUGGAGCAAAGGGAAAUUUUUCCAGAGGAAGCUACAAAUUUGCAGCAACUGCCAAGGAGGUGUGCAGCCAGUGCAAAGGUGUUACAUCCAGAGGUGCUAAGUACCUGAGCUCCUUCCUGACACCAGUGGGGCAGAAUGCUCUGCAUCUCUCUGAAGCACUUUGUCUGGACCUCUCUCAGCUGACCCACGGUUCUUUGUACCUUCUUGCUCCCUGCCUUGGCACCCAAGGUCACAGUUUAUAAAUGCACAGGGUCCAACUCUGCCCCGUCCCCUUGUUGCUGCUGCUGCUGGAACUAUUCACUUUUGGAUGUCUUGCUGAGAGAAGCUUUG
ensembl:lncRNA